rnacentral:rRNA from 1 species
GAUGAACGCUGGCGGCGUGCCUAACACAUGCAAGUCGAGCGGCAGCGCGGGGUGCUUGCACCCUGUCGGCGAGCGGCGGACGGCUGAGUAACGCGUGGGAACGUGCCCCAAAGUGAGGAAUAACUGCCCGAAAGGGUAGCUAAUACCGCAUAUUAUCUUCGGAUCAAAGGAUUUAUCCGCUUUGGGAGCGGCUCGCGUCGGAUUAGGUAGUUGGUGAGGUAAUGGCUCACCAAGCCGACGAUCCGUAGCUGGUCUGAGAGGAUGACCAGCCAGACUGGAACUGAGACACGGUCCAGACUCCUACGGGAAGCAGCAGUGAGGAAUCUUCCACAAUGGGCGAAAGCCUGAUGGAGCAACGCCGCGUGCAGGACGAAGGCCUUCGGGUUGUAAACUGCUUUUAUAAGUGAGGAAUAUGACGGUAACUUAUGAAUAAGGAUCGGCUAACUACGUG